AGAGUUUGAUCCUGGCUCAGGAUGAACGCUAGCUACAGGCUUAACACAUGCAAGUCGAGGGGCAUCAGGAAGAAAGCUUGCUUUCUUUGCUGGCGACCGGCGCACGGGUGAGUAACACGUAUCCAACCUGCCCUUUACUCGGGGAUAGCCUUUCGAAAGAAAGAUUAAUACCCGAUGGCAUAAUGAUUCCGCAUGGUUUCAUUAUUAAAGGAUUCCGGUAAAGGAUGGGGAUGCGUUCCAUUAGGUUGUUGGUGAGGUAACGGCUCACCAAGCCUUCGAUGGAUAGGGGUUCUGAGAGGAAGGUCCCCCACAUUGGAACUGAGACACGGUCCAAACUCCUACGGGAGGCAGCAGUGAGGAAUAUUGGUCAAUGGGCGCUAGCCUGAACCAGCCAAGUAGCGUGAAGGAUGAAGGCUCUAUGGGUCGUAAACUUCUUUUAUAUAAGAAUAAAGUGCAGUAUGUAUACUGUUUUGUAUGUAUUAUAUGAA
rnacentral:rRNA from 1 species